rnacentral:miRNA from 1 species
CUAAGCCAUCUUUCCAGCCCUAGAAAUAUCUUUUAAGGGCUAGAGAGAUGGCCCAG